rnacentral:rRNA from 1 species
UACAGAGGGUGCGAGCGUUAAUCGGACUUACUGGGCGUAAAGGGCGCGUAGGUGGUUUAAUCAGUCAGAUGUGAAAUCCCAGGGCUCAACCUUGGAAUUGCAUUUGAUACUGUUAGACUAGAGUGCAGAAGAGGGAAGGGGAAUUUCCGGUGUAGCGGUGAAAUGCGUAGAUAUCGGAAGGAACACCAGUGGCGAAGGCGCCUUCCUGGUCUGACACUGACACUGAGGCGCGAAAGCGUGGGUAGCAAACAGG